rnacentral:lncRNA from 1 species
AGCCUCCAGCCUCCAGAUGCCUCGGAGUAAAAGCAGGGACCUCUUCUGAGCUGAGCUGCACCUGAGAUGAAACGGCAGGAUCAUAAAGGGACCAGCACCGUGAGUCAGGGCUUGAAGCAUAAUUGUACAUAAUUAAAUAUUCGAAUGUUACCACGGGACGGGCAAGACACUUCCUCAGUGACAGGUGAGGCCCUUCCUCAGGUGAAGGCACUUGUCCUGGAAGCCUAGAGACCUGAGCUCAUCCCUGGAAACUGUGUAAAAGUGGAAGUUGUUCUCGGACCUCCACAUGUGUGCCAGCCCCAAAUAGUAACUUUGUAAAGGUUGCCACUUAGCCCUAUGGUGGAAUGCUAGCCAGAACCGGAAAGAGCAGAGCCGUGGAUAGGGUCGGUAACAAAGAACCUUCAAAGCUUGGAAAUAGUCCCACGACCAUACACAGGAAGCCCAAACCUGUCAGAUGGAUCGUUCUUGUUUUUUCGAGACAGGGUUUCUCUGUGUAGCCUUGGCUGUCCUGGAACUCACUCUGUAGACCAGGCUG